rnacentral:rRNA from 1 species
GAUGAACGCUGGCGGCGUGCCUAAUACAUGCUUGUCGAGCGAACAGACGAGGAGCUUGCUCCUUUGACGUUAGCGGCGGACGGGUGAGUAACACGUGGGUAACCUACCUAUAAGACUGGGAUAACUUCGGGAAACCGGAGCUAAUACCGGAUAAUAUUUCGAACCGCAUGGUUCGAUAGUGAAAGAUGGCCCUGCUAUCACUUAUAGAUGGACCUGCGCCGUAUUAGCUAGUUGGUAAGGUAACGGCUUACCAAGGCAACGAUACGUAGCCGACCUGAGAGGGUGAUCGGCCACACUGGAACUGAGACACGGUCCAGACUCCUACGGGAGGCAGCAGUAGGGAAUCUUCCGCAAUGGGCGAAAGCCUGACGGAGCAACGCCGCGUGAGUGAUGAAGGUCUUCGGAUCGUAAAACUCUGUUAUUAGGGAAGAACAAACGUGUAAGUAACUGUGCACGUCUUGACGGUACCUAAUCAGAAAGCCACGGCUAACUACGUGCCAGCAGCCGCGGUAAUACGUAGGUGGCAAGCGUUAUCCGGAAUUAUUGGGCGUAAAGCGCGCGUAGGCGGUUUUUUAAGUCUGAUGUGAAAGCCCACGGCUCAACCGUGGAGGGUCAUUGGAAACUGGAAAACUUGAGUGCAGAAGAGGAAAGUGGAAUUCCAUGUGUAGCGGUGAAAUGCGCAGAGAUAUGGAGGAACACCAGUGGCGAAGGCGACUUUCUGGUCUGUAACUGACGCUGAUGUGCGAAAGCGUGGGGAUCAAACAGGAUUAGAUACCCUGGUAGUCCACGCCGUAAACGAUGAGUGCUAAGUGUUAGGGGGUUUCCGCCCCUUAGUGCUGCAGCUAACGCAUUAAGCACUCCGCCUGGGGAGUACGACCGCAAGGUUGAAACUCAAAGGAAUUGACGGGGACCCGCACAAGCGGUGGAGCAUGUGGUUUAAUUCGAAGCAACGCGAAGAACCUUACCAAAUCUUGACAUCCUUUGACCCUUCUAGAGAUAGAAGUUUCCCCUUCGGGGGACAAAGUGACAGGUGGUGCAUGGUUGUCGUCAGCUCGUGUCGUGAGAUGUUGGGUUAAGUCCCGCAACGAGCGCAACCCUUAAGCUUAGUUGCCAUCAUUAAGUUGGGCACUCUAAGUUGACUGCCGGUGACAAACCGGAGGAAGGUGGGGAUGACGUCAAAUCAUCAUGCCCCUUAUGAUUUGGGCUACACACGUGCUACAAUGGACAAUACAAAGGGCAGCGAAACCGCGAGGUCAAGCAAAUCCCAUAAAGUUGUUCUCAGUUCGGAUUGUAGUCUGCAACUCGACUACAUGAAGCUGGAAUCGCUAGUAAUCGUAGAUCAGCAUGCUACGGUGAAUACGUUCCCGGGUCU